AUUGAACGCUGGCGGCAUGCCUAACACAUGCAAGUCGAGCGAGCGGCGGACGGGUGAGUAAUGUCUGGGAACCUGCCUGCUGGAGGGGGAUAACUACUGGAAACGGUAGCUAAUACCGCAUACCAUCAGAUGUGCCCAGAUGGGAUUAGCUAGUAGGUGGGGUAACGGCUCACCUAGGCGACGAUCCCUAGCUGAUCUGAGAGGAUGACCAGCCACACUGGAACUGAGACACGGUCCAGACUCCUACGGGAGGCAGCAGAGGGGAAUAUGGCACAAGGGGCGCAAGCCUGAUGCAGCCAUGCCGCGGGUGUGAAGAAGGCCGUCGGGUUGUAAAGCACUUUCAGCGGGGAGGCGUUACCCGCAGAAGAAGCACCGGCUAACUCCGUGCCAGCCGCCGCGGUAAUAC
rnacentral:rRNA from 1 species